ACUGCUCAGUAACACGUGGACAAUCUGCCCUGAAGUGGAGAAUAAUCCCGGGAAACUGGGGGUAAUACUCCAUAGUUCGUUAUUACUGGAAUGUAUUUCGAACGAAAGAUCCGUCGCUUCAGGAUGAGUCUGCGGCCGAUUAGGUAGUUGUUGGGGUAAUUGCCCAACAAGCCUGUCAUCGGUACGGGUUGUGGGAGCAAGAGCCCGGAGAUGGAUUCUGAGACACGAAUCCAGGCCCUACGGGGCGCAGCAGGCGCGAAAACUUUACAAUGCUGGCAACAGCGAUAAGGGAACCUCGAGUGCCAGGUUACAAAUCUGGCUGUCGAGAUGCCUAAAAAGCAUUUCAUAGCAAGGGCCGGGCAAGACCGGUGCCAGCCGCCGCGGUAACACCGGCGGCUCGAGUGGUAACCGUUAUUAUUGGGUCUAAAGGGUCUGUAGCCGGCCGGAUAAGUCUCUUGAGAAAUCUGGCAGCUUAACUGUCAGGCUUUCAGGAGAUACUGUCUGGCUCGAGGCCGGGAGAGGUGAGAGGCACUUCAGGGGUAGGGGUGAAAUCUUGUAAUCCUUGAAGGACCACCAGUGGCGAAGGCGUCUCACCAGAACGGACCUGACGGCAAGGGACGAAAGCUAGGGGCACGAACCGGAUUAGAUACCCGGGUAGUCCUAGCCGUAAACGAUACUCGCUAGGUGUCGGCCACGGUGCGACCGUUGUCGGUGCCGUAGGGAAGCCGUGAAGCGAGCCACCUGGGAAGUACGGCCGCAAGGCUGAAACUUAAAGGAAUUGGCGGGGGAGCAC
rnacentral:rRNA from 1 species